rnacentral:rRNA from 1 species
AUUGAACGCUGGCGGCAGGCCUAACACAUGCAAGUCGAGCGGAGCGGCGGACGGGUGAGUAAUGCCUAGGAAUCUGCCUGGUCGUGGGGGAUAACGUCCGGAAACGGGCGCUAAUACCGCAUCCUAUCAGAUGAGCCUAGGUCGGAUUAGCUAGUUGGUGGGGUAAAGGCCUACCAAGGCGACGAUCCGUAACUGGUCUGAGAGGAUGAUCAGUCAAACUGGAACUAAGACACGGUCCAGAGCCCUACGGGAGGCAGCAGUGGGGAAUAUUGGACAAUGGGCGAAAGCCUGAUCCAGCCAUGUGGCGUGUGUGAAGAAGGUCUUGGGAUUGUAAAGCACUUUAAGUUGAGAGGCGUUACCAACAGAAUAAGCACCGGCUAACUUCGUGCCGGCCGCCGCGGUAAUUA